rnacentral:rRNA from 1 species
GGAACUGUGAGACAGGUGCUGCAUGGCUGUCGUCAGCUCGUGUUGUGAAAUGUUGGGUUAAGUCCCGCAACGAGCGCAACCCUUAUCCUUUGUUGCCAGCGGUUAGGCCGGGAACUCAAAGGAGACUGCCAGUGAUAAACUGGAGGAAGGUGGGGAUGACGUCAAGUCAUCAUGGCCCUUACGACCAGGGCUACACACGUGCUACAAUGGCAUAUACAAAGAGAAGCGACCUCGCGAGAGCAAGCGGACCUCAUAAAGUAUGUCGUAGUCCGGAUUGGAGUCUGCAACUCGACUCCAUGAAGUCGGAAUCGCUAGUAAUCGUAGAUCAGAAUGCUACGGUGAAUACGUUCCCGGGCCUUGUACACACCGCCCGUCACACCAUGGGAGUGGGUUGCAAAAGAAGUAGGUAGCUUAACCUUCGGGAGGGCGCUUACCACUUUGUGAUUCAUGACUGGGGUGAAGUCGUAACAAGGUAACCGUAGGGGAACCUGCGGUUGGAUCACCUCCUUA